CACGGGGGGGAGCAAGCGUUGUUCGGAAUCACUGGGCGUAAAGGGCGUGUAGGCGGUUCGGUAAGUGGAAUGUGAAAUGCUCCGGCUCACCCGGAGUACUGCAUCCCAAACUGCCGAGCUUGAGUAUGGGAGAGGAUGAGGGAAUUCCUGGUGUAGCGGUGAAAUGCGUAGAUAUCAGGAGGAACACCGGUGGCGAAGGCGGUUCUCUGGGACGGUACUGACGCUGAGACGCGAAAGCGUGGGGAGCGAACAGG
rnacentral:rRNA from 1 species